UCCAGACUCCUACGGGAGGCAGCAGUGGGGAAUAUUGCACAAUGGGGGAAACCCUGAUGCAGCGACGCCGCGUGAGUGAAGAAGUAUUUCGGUAUGUAAAGCUCUAUCAGCAGGGAAGAUAAUGACGGUACCUGAGUAAGAAGCCCCGGCUAACUACGUGCCAGCAGCCGCGGUAAUACGUAGGGGGCAAGCGUUAUCCGGAUUUACUGGGUGUAAAGGGAGCGUAGACGGCAUGGCAAGUCUGAAGUGAAAGCCCGGGGCUCAACCGCGGGACUGCUUUGGAAACUGUUAAGCUGGAGUGCAGGAGAGGUAAGUGGAAUUCCUAGUGUAGCGGUGAAAUGCGUAGAUAUUAGGAGGAACACCAGUGGCGAAGGCGGCCUACUGGACGGUGACUGACGCUGAGGCACGAAGGCCAGGGGAGCGAAAGGGAUUAGAUACCCGCGUA
rnacentral:rRNA from 1 species